rnacentral:rRNA from 1 species
GAUUCCCCUAGUAACUGCGAGUGAAGCGGGAAAAGCUCAAAUUUGAAAUCUGGCAGUCUUUUUUUUCUUCUUUGGGCUGUCCGAGUUGUAAUCUAGAGAAGUGCUUACCUGCGCUGGACCAUGUAUAAGUCUCCUGGAAUGGAGCCUCACAGAGGGUGAGAAUCCCGUCUUUGACAUGGACCGCCAGUGCGUUGUGGUGCGCUCUCAAAGAGUCGAGUUGUUUGGGAAUGCAGCUCUAAACGGGUGGUAAACUCCAUCUAAAGCUAAAUAUUGGCGAGAGACCGAUAGCGAACAAGUACCGUGAGGGAAAGAUGAAAAGGACUUUGGAAAGAGAGUUAAACAGUAUGUGAAAUUGUUGAAAGGGAAACGCUUGAAGUCAGUUAUGUCGGCUGGGGAUCAACCUAGCCAUCUUUUUGGCUGGGUGAAUUUCCUAGUCUGACAGGCCAACAUCAGUCUUGACUGCCGGAAAAGAGCGGAGGGAAUGUGGCACCUUUGGGUGUGUUAUAGCCCUCUGUCAUAUGCGGCAGUCGGGACUGAGGGAUGCAGCGUGCCGCGAGGCUGGGUUUCGACCACGUUCACGCUUAGGAUGUUGGCUUUUAAUGGCUCCAAUCGACCCGUCUUGAAACACGGACCAAGGAGUCUAACAUGCCUGCGAGUGUUUGGGUGGAAAACCCUUGUGCACAAUGAAAGUGAAAGUUGAGAUCCCCGUCAUGGGGAGCAUCGACGCCCGGACUUGAGCUUUUAGCGACGGAUCCGCGGUAGAGCAUGCAUGUUGGGACCCGAAAGAUGGUGAACUAUGCCUGAAUAGGGCAAAGCCAGAGGAAACUCUGGUGGAGGCUCGUAGCGAUUCUGACGUGCAAAUCGAUCGUCAAAUUUGGGUAUAGGGGCGAAAGACUAAUCGA